rnacentral:rRNA from 1 species
UACAGGGGGUGCAAACGUUGCUCGGAAUCAUUGGGCGUAAAGCGCACGUAGGCGGUCUGUUAUGUCGGAUGUGAAAGCCCUUGGCUCAACUGAGGAAGUGCAUCCGAAACUGGCAGGCUAGAGUACUAAAGAGGAUCGCGGAAUUCCCGGUGUAGAGGUGAAAUUCGUAGAUAUCGGGAGGAACACCGGUGGCGAAGGCGGCAUCCUGGACCAUAACUGACGCUGAGGCGCGAAAGCUAGGGGAGCAAACAGG